rnacentral:rRNA from 1 species
AAUCCCGGGGGGGGAAACUAGCAUAUCAAUAAGCGGAGGAAAAGAAACCAACAGGGAUUGCCCUAGUAACGGCGAGUGAAGCGGCAACAGCUCAAAUUUGAAAUCUGGCUCUUUCAGAGUCCGAGUUGUAAUUUGCAGAGGGCGCUUUGGCUUUGGCAGCGGUCCAAGUUCCUUGGAACAGGACGUCACAGAGGGUGAGAAUCCCGUACGUGGUCGCUAGCUAUUGCCGUGUAAAGCCCCUUCGACGAGUCGAGUUGUUUGGGAAUGCAGCUCUAAAUGGGAGGUAAAUUUCUUCUAAAGCUAAAUAUUGGCCAGAGACCGAUAGCGCACAAGUAGAGUGAUCGAAAGAUGAAAAGCACUUUGGAAAGAGAGUCAAACAGCACGUGAAAUUGUUGAAAGGGAAGCGCUUGCAGCCAGACUUGCUUGCAGUUGCUCAUCCGGGCUUUUGCCCGGUGCACUCUUCUGUAGGCAGGCCAGCAUCAGUUUGGGCGGUGGGAUAAAGGUCUCUGUCACGUACCUCUCUUCGGGGAGGCCUUAUAGGGGAGACGACAUACCACCAGCCUAGACUGAGGUCCGCGCAUCUGCUAGGAUGCUGGCGUAAUGGCUGUAAGCGGCCCGUCUUGAAACACGGACCAAGGAGUCUAACAUCUAUGCGAGUGUUUGGGUGUCAAGCCCGAGCGCGUAAUGAAAGUGAACGGAGGUGGGAACCCGCAAGGGUGCACCAUCGACCGAUCCUGAAGUUUACGGAAGGAUUUGAGUAAGAGCAUGGCUGUUGGGACCCGAAAGAUGGUGAACUAUGCUUGAAUAGGGUGAAGCCAGAGGAAACUCUGGUGGAGGCUCGCAGCGGUUCUGACGUGCAAAUCGAUCGUCAAAUUUGGGCAUAGGGGCGAAAGACUAAUCGACUUUCUAGUAGCUGGUCUGGCAUCUCCCCCCCCCCAAAAAGA